CCAGAAUCAAAAGCUCACAUUAUAAUAAACAGGGUUUUCAACCAGCACAUAAAAGGACGCUGUGAAUAAUAAUACAACAAACUGAUCCAACACAAUACAAGAUGACUCUGGAACUUACAGCUUCUAAAUCUACAGUUGUGAAAACGGUGGUAGCUGCGUCAGCUUGUAUUUCACCUACAGCCAUCAUCACCUUAGGUGUAACAGGUAUAGCAGUCAUCUUGGGAAUGUAUCUGUACAAGAAGGGUGGCCGCCGUGAGGCAUCGUCAGGCAACGAUCAAUAAAUACAAGGCGGCACCUCUGGAAGAGAUCAUGAAGGCGGCUGUGACCUGACCUUGUUCUCUCUCUGCCUCUGGCUGGAGCCUCCACGACUGACAGUUGACUGCAAUACUUGUCGUUUAUAAUGAAUACUAGAUUGGUUUGGGUUCAUUUAUG